rnacentral:rRNA from 1 species
UACGGAGGGUGCAAGCGUUGUCCGGAUUUAUUGGGUUUAAAGGGUGCGUAGGCGGCUGAUUAAGUCAGCGGUGAAAUUCCACAGCUCAACUGUGGAACUGCCAUUGAUACUGGUUAGCUUGAGUACAGAUGAGGUAGGCGGAAUUGACGGUGUAGCGGUGAAAUGCUUAGAUAUCGUCAAGAACACCUAUAGCGAAGGCAGCUUACUAGGCUGUAACUGACGCUGAGGCACGAAAGUGUGGGGAGUCAAACAGG